CAAUAGGAAGACGGAUGGGCCUUGGCCCCGCCUCACAACGAGCCGCACUCUCGACGUGGACUUGGGAGGCUCGCGAAUUCCACCGGACACUCCAGUUUUCCCACCUGAAAUGACGGGGUGAAUUAUUAAAGGUGAAAGAGAUGUGGAUUCCUUUAUUCGCUCGACAAACAUUUAGAAGGCAGAGAAGAUGCUUGGGGACAUGGAUGCGGCCACAGCACAAUGACCACCCCUGUGGUGCCCCUCCUGUGAUUCUGCCUCCUGAAUUCACCUUGUAUCAAAUGAGCUCCUGGGUGCCCCACCUGCGCGUGCUCCACAGCCUCGCAUCCACCUACGAGCACGUUGGACCCAGGCAAACUCCUUGAGUGAAACUCCAGCAGCACGUGUCUUUAUUUAAUGGCAGGGACAAACAUGGAUAAAGCAUUCAGUUGAUGUAUUCACAUUAAUACCAUUUCUUAAGGUCUUCAAAACCUGGAAAAGAAAGAAUGGGACAAAAAUCACUGAGUCCUCUGUAGUUCCUGGCUACAGCAGACUGCCCCUGAAACUCACUGGUGGCCCUGCUGAGUGGUGUGGUCGUGCUGUGGUCAUGGCUGUAGUCUGUGUAGCUGGCAUCACUGUGAUGCCUUUCUAAAACUGAGGGAACACUGAAUUUGGCUACAUCGAUCCUGGACAUUCUCAACAUUCUGUGAGUGUUUCACAUUAAGCCGUCCAAGGCCUGAGGCUCAUUAGCCACCAUGGGUUCCCAUGACAGCACAGGGCAAGGGAGCCCUCAGGCCCCAGAGCAGAGUGUGGGAAGAGACCGAAGAGAUGUGGAAGAGUUCCCUCCAACCCUGAUGCAGACCUGGACCCAGGGCCAAAGGGUGGAGGUGCGUAGGAGCCUGAAGCUUUGCCCGCCCUACCAUGAGAAGGUUCAGAUUCCCUCAGCAAGCAUUUAAUGAGUGCCUCCUUUGUGGCAGGCACUGUUCUAAGCAUCGGAGAACAUCAGUGACCAAAAACGAUUCCUGACCUUGGGAAGCUAACAUUCUAGUGGAGAAGACAGGCAAAAGACUCGUGUUCCAUGGAAAUAUUUUACAGCUUGAGCUUCUUGGUGACUACAAGGAUGUAAAAAUAUGUAUUUUUACAUGUGUGAAAAAUCAUGAGCUCCCAUUAAGAUUUGUGCAUUUUAUUGUGAGUUAUACAUUAAUU